UACGUAGGGUGCGAGCGUUAAUCGGAAUUACUGGGCGUAAAGCGCACGUAGGCGGCUUUGUAGGUUAGAGGUGAAAGCCUGGAGCUCAACUCCAGAAUUGCCUUUAAGACUGCAUCGCUUGAAUCCAGGAGAGGUGAGUGGAAUUCCGAGUGUAGAGGUGAAAUUCGUAGAUAUUCGGAAGAACACCAGUGGCGAAGGCGGCUCACUGGACUGGUAUUGACGCUGAGGUGCGAAAGCGUGGGGAGCAAACAGG
rnacentral:rRNA from 1 species